rnacentral:rRNA from 1 species
UCGUCACACUAUCAUUAACUGAAUCCAUAGGUUAAUGAGGCGAACCGGGGGAACUGAAACAUCUAAGUACCCCGAGGAAAAGAAAUCAACCGAGAUUCCCCCAGUAGCGGCGAGCGAACGGGGAGGAGCCCAGAGCCUGAAUCAGCAUGUGUGUUAGUGGAAGCGUCUGGAAAGGCGCGCGAUACAGGGUGACAGCCCCGUACACAAAAGCGCAUGUGCUGUGAGCUCGAUGAGUAGGGCGGGACACGUGGUAUCCUGUCUGAAUAUGGGGGGACCAUCCUCCAAGGCUAAAUACUCCUGACUGACCGAUAGUGAACCAGUACCGUGAGGGAAAGGCGAAAAGAACCCCGGCGAGGGGAGUGAAAAAGAACCUGAAACCGUGUACGUACAAGCAGUGGGAGCCCCACCACUAAGCCAGUGGUGAACUCCACAUACGCAUCCUUUGCUGAGGAUACGGUUAACGGAGCGAAAGCGACGUUCAACCUCAAAAGAAGCAGAGGGGGCUUAGUGGUGGGGUGACUGCGUACCUUUUGUAUAAUGGGUCAGCGACUUAUAUUCUGUAGCAAGGUUAACCG